rnacentral:rRNA from 1 species
UACGUAGGUGACAAGCGUUGUCCGGAUUUACUGGGCGUAAAGAGCGCGCAGGCGGUCGUUCAAGUCGAGUGUGAAAGCCCCCGGCUCAACUGGGGAGGGUCAUUCGAUACUGAUCGACUCGAAGGCAGGAGAGGGUAGUGGAAUUCCCGGUGUAGUGGUGAAAUGCGUAGAUAUCGGGAGGAACACCAGUGGCGAAGGCGACUACCUGGCCUGUUCUUGACGCUGAGACGCGAAAGCGUGGGGAGCAAACAGG